GCCUGGGCUACAAGGAGAAGUCCGGCGCGGUGAGGAACCGCAAGCAGCAGCCGCCGGCGCAGCCGUCCACCUGCAUCUGACCCGGCCCCGCCCCCCUGGCCCCGCCCCCAGCUCCCUGCCCCGCCCCAGCCCUUCUGCGCUCAGCCGCCAUGGACAACUGGGGGGCGGGGCCAAUGGAUGCUGUUGGCAAAAGUCUUGCACGUCAAAAUGGAGGGGCGUUGAUUGACGGCGUUCUGGAGAAGUUCCCGGCAGUGGAGGCGGGCGGGGGGGAAUGGGGGCCCACUUACCUGCACAUCUGAUGGACGGUGCCCUGUUAAAAAACCAAAAAGGAAGAGAGAGACGCUACGCUACGCUGAGUGGGAGGGGCAUGUUUCUCCCGCCCUCCUGACUGCUCGCCUGGUUCCGCGCUGCUGCCCACAGAGACGUCGGCUCACUUAAUUUAUUCUCUUUUUUUGAUUAUUAUUAUUAUUUUUUUAAUCAUUGCGACAAACAGGAUUCUGUACGUUUUAUUUGCCAUGGAAACAUUUCAGCACGGGGGAGAGUCAAACUCACGCCAUUCCGCAUCUGGAGAAACUGUUUAAUUUUUAAUUUUAUUUUUUUUAAACAUUUUUUUGGGUGUGUGUCUGCAAUCAAAAAAAAAAUUUCUUUUUGUUUUUAUCACCAGAAAUGUGAAAUGUAGCCUUUUUCCUUACUGAAGGUGACCAUCUACCUUAUCAGUAACUAAGAGCACAAGCUAAUUGGAAAUCCAUGUGUGGUCAUAGCCUAACUAUGUCUAGAUUGAUUUUUUGUAAAAAACAUUAUUUAUAAAUCACUUUUCAUUAUAUAAACACACGGACCCCAAGAACUAGGCUGUAGAUAUUGCUUCUUACAUUGUGUGUUCGGCUGAUUUGUGUCCUGCAGUGUGGAAUUUGGAUUUGUAUCCAUUUUAGCAUAUUGCUAACAGUUAGAGGGGAUGCAAGCAAUUUAACAGGCAUUCUGGGUAAUGUAGGCAGUUGGGAAAGAAGUAAGGAGACUUAUGUUUGGCAUAAAUGGCAUGUUUUAAUUAAAAGUUUCUGCAUAAAUACAUGGCCUAAACAACCGGGAAACCACCCGUUCAGACCUGCGAUUCUCGCAUUGGGCCUCAUUCACAAAACGUGCGUACGAUCGCAUUUUAUCGCUAACUGUGCGUAGGAACGUUUCCUCAAACGUUUCAGCCAUUCGUCAUUCUUUUUCUUAUCUCUAUAUGGUCUGCACAUGCGUUAUGAAUCCCGUUUUGUUUUAAGAACAAUUUAAGAAAAGUUUUGUGAAUGAGGCCCAUUGAGACACGAACAGAAAUUACUCGUUUGAUUUUCACACAUUAAACACAUUUUUACCCUACGUGAACUCACCGAGCCAUAUCGAAUACAGAUUAAAUACAAAUUUUGUUACGAAAGAAGUGAACGCUCAUCUUCAUUUCACAACGUGAUUUGUCUAGACCAAUCAGAAAAGGCUGAAGUAGUUGGGCGUGCUGAAUUUGAGGCUGGGGCGGUUGUGUGUUUUAGGAGCGUUGUCUGGCUUUGACGGAGCUGAUGUAGGUCAGGAGGGAGCGUGUAUAAAGGCUGCUGCAUCCCUGCUUAAUUUAACGUUUUGUCCUGAUUUAGGAACGCGUCUGUGGGCAUUGUUAGCAGGGGCAGAGCAAUGCAUCUCCUUGAUGUUAUGGAAGUCUCUGCAUAUUUCCCUGACAGCAGGCAUUCGUCAGCCAUUUUUUAUUGUGUUUUUUUUUUUUUUUUUUGGGAAGGAUAUUACGGCAUGAAUCAUAAUUGUGCAAAAGAAAAAAAAAAAAAGGAUAGUGGGGUCAUUUUUAAAAUGGUGCUGUCAGAAGCCCUUGUCUCUCCUCUCUCAGAAAACGGCCAUUUUAAACGACAGCCUUCACUUUCUCACAGGUUGAUUCCCCCAAAAAAAAGAAAAAGAAAGAAAAUUGCUGUGCUUUUCACGUGAAAAACAGAAAGUAUUCUGAGCUUCUGUGUAAAUCCAUACAGUGGAACUUCAGAAUGCCAUCUCAUAUUCACAUAUUCAAUAUUCUUGGGGGGGGGGGGGGUGUGUAAAAGAUGCUGUGGCCAGUAUGAGAUUUUAAAAGGGGGGGGGGGGGGGAUGUACUCGGUGGACGUAAGAACCAAUUGCAGCCCUCCUAUUGGGCAGUGGAGCGGGACAACCCCAGUGCCAAAACUCCAGGCCCCCUGGCGUGGCCGAACGUCCCAUUUACCGCUCUCUUCCUCAAGAGAUCGCCCCGCCCCCGUACGCCCCGCCCAUGUACGCCGGUACCGUAUUUUAAAAAAAAAUUUGACAUUUCUGGCAGUUUCUGCCCUGGCAGGUCGCAGCACUUCAGACAGAACAGUCGGGCCUCAGGGAGCCAAUAACGGUCCUGUUUCCACAGCGCCAACCGGGUCCACUUCCUGUCUGUUAUUGAGUGGGCUCCCGCAGACCCGAAUCAGCCAAUCACUAAUGAGGCGAUUCUCUCGAGGGCUUUUGAGCUGAGGGAACAGCCCCCCCGCAAGGCUUUUCUGGAAAUUAAUAAAGACUGUGAGUUACAGUGGCUGCCCCCCCCCCCCACCUCCAAAUAGUCUACAGCGUGUCACAAUGGGGAUUGGGGGAUUUGGAGUGGUGAGGGUGGUAAAAUGACAUGGAAUAGGAGAGUGUGAUUGGCUGCAAUUAUGCCGUAUAUAUGCACUAGAGAAUAAGCCACAGCAUUAACUCCCAACUGCGGAGCUCCAGGGACUGCGGGGGUAUUGAUUUGGAUCGGAGCAGUUUGCAAUCUCAGUUUUCUUUCCUGUCACUCUUUUUUUUUUUUUCUUCUUAAAAAAAAAAAAAAAAAAAAAUCCAUAUUGCCACUUUUUGAGAAAUGCUAUGCCUGGCGGGAGAUCUGACCCCUGACUGCCUGCUGCCCGACCUGUGCGUCUGUAGCUGGACCAUUUUGCUUCGGAGUGAAUGUUCUGGAUUGACGGGAGGACUUAAUCACUUUUUUUUUUUUUUUUAACUGAAUGCCACAAGUCUGGCUGCCAAGGACUACAAACCUCUCGCCCCCCCCCCGCUUAAUAACAGUGCACUCCUUGGGCAAUAAUGUGGGAAAUUAUAAAUAUGAUAUGUAAUAUUAAAUGGACGUGACAUAAAUUGAUUGUAAUUUCAUAUGCCGCACGUUGUGCAGAGAUCACAAGGAUCGGUCCUUUCAGAGCAGAGUUAUUCCUGAGCCACGCCCCCCCUUCCCUGCCCCUAGUGACAUCGCCACCUCUAAAAACAGCUCUGGGCAGUUCCUGCUUCCCCUCAUAGAAGGAAGUAGGAAGUAGGAAGUUGAAGUUUUUUUUUUUUUUCUCCUCAUAACUUAUCUGGGGCUUUCUGGUCACACACAGACGCCCUUGAAAAUGUAGAUCUUUGCUUUGGGCUUUGCCCCGCGAGACACGGGUUUCCGACCUUGCCCCUGACCUCCUGCGUAUGCUUAUUUUUUUUAGCCGAGCGGCCAGCAGUAUCCCCCCGCUUAAGACUUAUUUUAAACACGCUGCAUGUUUUCGGCCCCGCUGUUUGCUUUUGUCUUUGAACUCCUCAUUUUCCUCGAAUGGAUUUGUUUCGGGGAGUCAUCAAUCACCGAGGGGCCCCACUGAUUUCGCCCGUCAGCCUAUAAUUGAGUCGGUUAUACAACGCAACCUCUCUCUGAGCGAAUCGCGGGUAAUAUGGCACAGAAAUCGUUAGCGUCGGAGGGCUGGCCGCAGCGACUGUCCUUGGAUGCGAGUGUAGGAAUUUUUUUGAGGUUUUCCUAGCUGUUGCUGACAUAAUUUGGCCGUGGAAGAGUGAAACUUCCCUCGACAGCCAUUAAAAACAAACUCAGUUUAAUAAACUCGGGUUGUAAUAAUGGUUCGCGGAAAAAAAAUAAAACUCCCAUCAUGCCCAGGGGGGACUGUUGGACCGAGUUUGGGAAGUCCUAAAAAUACCCCUCUUCCUGUAGACGUCUCCUGAAAGAGCUGUCAGGUGCAGUCGAGGAUGUGCACUAAAAGGUGCUUCAGUGCUGCCCUUCGGACGCAUGACUUCUUUACCAAUGUGAGCGCAGAGAGCAGCCAGCUGCCAGGACCUGGGCCCAGAGCAAGCAGCAGCAGCGUUUUAUAGAGAUUAGCAGUGGUGAGCUGCCAGGACCUGGGCACAGAGGAAAGGACAUCACCGUGUGGAGAUUAACCUGAGAACAAUAAUCUUAUUAUGUUGGCUAUAGUCAAGUGGUCUUUAUAUGACAUUAUUAGAGAUGGACCUUUAAGCAUUGGUCUGUUGCUAUACGCACACUCACACACAUUAUAUUUAUUGUGUAAAAUUUUGUCGGUGUGAACCCAGUGGGGGAGGGGCUUAUUGCAGAUUGCUAGUUUGGAAUAGCUCAGUUUAGCAUGGUGCAGUUUAGCAUAGCUCAGUUUAGCAUGGCGGAGUUUAGCAUAGCUCAGUUUAGCAUGGUGCAGUUUAGCAUAGCUCAGUUUAGCAUGGUGGAGUUUAGCAUAGCACAGUUUAGCAUAGCUCAGUUUAGCAUGGUGCAGUUUAGCAUAGCUCAGUUUAGCAUAGCACAGUUUAGCAUAGCUCAGUUUAGCAUGGUGCAGUUUAGCAUAGCACAGUUUAGCAUAGCUCAGUUUAGCAUUGCUCAGUUUAGCACAGCUCAGUUUAGCAUGGUGGAGUUUAGCUUAGCACAGUUUAGCAUGGUGGAGUUUAGCACAGCUCAGUUUAGCAUGGUGGAGUUUAGCUUAGCACAGUUUAGCACAGCUCAGUUUAGCAUGGUGGAGUUUAGCAUAGCUCAGUUUAGCAUGGUGGAGUUUAGCACAGCUCAGUUUAGCAUGGUGGAGUUUAGCAUAGCACAGUUUAGCAUGGUGGAGUUUAGCACAGCUCAGUUUAGCAUGGUGGAGUUUAGCAUAGCUCAGUUUAGCAUGGUGGAGUUUAGCAUAGCUCAGUUUAGCACUGCGGUAGUUCAGUACAGCACUCGCCUGUCCACAGGGCUUGCUCAGUGAGGGAUUUGCCGUGCUCAGCGGUGGUUUCGACUCUCUUGUCCUGAGUGACUUGUACAGAUUACAUUUCCGCGCACAAUCAGUUUACGCUGCAGGACAUUUCCUGAAGUAGUUCAAGGUUUUGCGACCUUGUUGAAGGGUACAGCAGCCGCAAGUGGGAAUCAAUCUCAGGUUUGACUUGCCGGACCAGCUACCCAAACGCUGUACAGCACUGCUGGCCCACAGCCGCUAGUCAGCAGAGAGGGGGAUUUUACAGUUAGGCCUUGGAGGGUUUCGGAAACCUUGCUCCACGUCAGUAGAAAUGCUGAGGCAGCUGUUUUUGUCCUCAUUGAUAUUUUCCCCCCCCCUGUUAGAAAUGUGGGUGUGAAGGAGCUCAUAGCCCGGCUGGUUCUCAUGAUGCGGCUGGUUUCUGUUUCAGUGAUGAAUGCAGAAUGCGUGCGAUCCUCCAAGACAGGUGAUUGAUGGAGGAGGUCGCAGCGAUGAAACAGGAGUUUGGGAACCCAAAAAAGAAAAACAGAAAUGCGGAAAGAAAAACAGUAGAAAAAAGGAAGUUUAUCUGACAGUUGUUUCCAAAAAAAAUAAAAAAAAUAGGUGCUCUUAUUUGAAUGUUUUUUUUUAAAAUCUUGCUUUCAAACUUUGAUCUAGUGAUAUGGUGCAGACACCGCAUACUGAAAUGCUAGCGUAAAGGUCUGUCUCUAAUGCAGUAAUUUCAUAUAAAUAUCCUCAUGUGCUAGGUUAGGCUUUGGAUAACUAUUCCCCAUUCUUCUGGAGCAACUUCGCAUGUAAGGGGACCGCCCAAUCUACGCCAAAUAGUUUUUUUUUUUUCCACAUUCCAGUCUCUCUGUUACCCAGACAGUCCUCUUGCUGGUGGCCAUUGUAGAUCAGUUUGGGUCUGGAGCCCUGCAGUGCUCUCUGGAUUUAGGGUUGACAGUUAAUGCAGGCUUUGUGAUUUGUAUGGAUUUAUUCAUGGAGAAGCCUUGUCUCUCCCUCAGACUUUUGACUGCUGUUCCGAUAAUGCAUUGGUGUAGAUUUGUCAUUCGAGCGGCUUGUAUGGCCGGUGGAAUUUGACGGGGCGAAAGAGUCUGUGUUCAGGAUCGCUCUCACAGGCCACAGGCUUUUCCAGCGAGAGAAUGUCUGAAGGAGGUCACAGUGGUUGAGGAGCAUGUCUCACGUAUGGAAAGUGGGGGCAGGAGCACCUCUCGUAUUCGGAAAGGAGGGUUCACCACCCUCCUGGUUUUUUUGUGGACGCUGGUGACAAGCAUGUGUCUGUCUGAACGUCAGGUGGCUCCUCCCCCAUGCAGGAAACCGCCAUCUGAACCAUGACGAGGUGCAGGAGCGUAUGCUAAAGGUAGUCCUAAGCAUCGCCUGUGGUCUGGCUUCUGAACCGUAACGAGGUGCAGGGGCGUAUGCUAACGAUGGCGCUAAGCAGCACCUGUGGUCUGGCACCUGAACCAUGACGAGGUGCUGGAGCGUAUGCUAACGAUAGGGCAGAGUACCUGUGGUCUGGCGCUCUCUGUCUGGCCAGAAGCCUGCGGUCUGCUGCAGGCAAACUGACAGCCUUUUGCAGGGCAUGCUGGGAGCGUCCACGCGUGAACCAAUCAGACUGCCGUCAUUAAGGAUCGCUUCCCAAGAACCUAAAUUGAAUUAAAAUUUAUGUACAUGUCCACAUACUUCAUUUAUUUUCACAGCAUGAUUUUGGCCCAACGUGUCCUCGCAGGCUAAGCCUCAUUCCUUUUCCACACACUUUUAGGGUCUAAUAUCUUCCCGCCAAUCACUUUAGCUCUGUGAAGAUCGUCUAAGGUGGAGACUGCACUGUUAAAAAAAAAAAAUAGAGAAUACUCAAAAUUUCAAGGCAAAGAAAGCUUUGAGCUUUGUGGGCAAGUUAUGCCCAGUAGCAUUCAUUAGUUCAGAAAACUCAAUUUUAAGUUUUUCUACCAAUGAAAUGUAAGUUUUCUGACUUAAAAAAAUCUAAGUAAAGCUCAAAACUUAUUUUUGUUAUGUGGCCUUGCAAUUUUCAGUAUUUUGAACUUUUGUAUGGGGUGGUGAUUAAAAAAUAAUCUGUGAGACACAAGGGCCUUGCCUGGUAUUUAUAUCCCCGCUACAGCAAGUGCUGGCCACAGACAGUAAAGCAAAAGGUCCGAGUUGUGUCCGGUGAACAUUUCCCAGAAUCCUCUCCUCCAUACUCCCAAGCCUCAAACUCCCAGAAUUCCCCCACUCUCCUCUCUGUAAACAGCCAUUGUAGAUACAGACAAAUAGUUUGUUAAUAUGUAUAAUUUAGCAUUGAUUGCACUCUUUUUUUUUCUUUUUUGUAAAUAAUGGGAAAGUAUUGUAAAAAUUUUCAUUUUUAUCUGGAAAGUUCUUGCUUAGACAGACAUUUAUGAACCUGGAGAAAUGCACUUUUGGUUCUAAAAUGUGGAUAAGGAACAUUUUUUUAUUGUAAAAUAACUAAUUUAAAAGUAAUCCAACACACUAGGAAUGGACAGAACAAUGUAAAAUGAGAAUAUUUUAACAGACCGUGUAACUAUAAAUACAUAACAGUAUGUACGUAUGUAUGUACUGUAGAGUUUUUGGUCUACAAUAAAAGUGUAAAAAUCCAAA